rnacentral:rRNA from 1 species
AUUGAACGCUGGCGGCAGGCCUAACACAUGCAAGUCGAACGAGUGGCGGAAGGGUGAGUAAUGUCCGGGAAACUGCCCGAGGGAGGGGUACAACUACGGGAAACUGCAGCCAAUACCGCAUACCAUCAGAUGUGCCCAGAUGGGACUAGCUUGUGGGUGGGGUAACGGCUCACCAAGGCGACGAUCCCUAGCUGGUCGGAGAGGAUGACCAGCCACAGUGGAACUGUGACACGGUCCAGACUCCUACGGGAGGCAGCAGUGGGGAAUAUUGCACAAUGGGCGCAAGCUGGAUACAGCCAUGCGGCGUGUAUGAAGAGGGCCUUCGGGUUGUAAAGUACUUUCGGCGGGGAGGCGUUACCCGCAGAAGAAGCACCGGCUAACUCCGUGCCAGCAGCCGCGGUAAUAC